rnacentral:rRNA from 1 species
GACGAACGCUGGCGGCGUGCCUAAUACAUGCAAGUCGAACGCAGUGGGGACGGGUGAGUAACACGUGGGUAACCUCCCAUCAGAGGGGAUAAAACUUGGAAACAGGUGCUAAACCGAUACUGAUGGAUGGACCCGCGGUGCAUUAGCUAGUUGGUGAGGUAACGGCUCACCAAGGCAAGGAUGCAUAGCCGACCUGGGAGGGUGACGGGCAACACGGGGACUGGGCAACGGCCCAGCCUCCUACGGGGGGCAGCAGUAGGGAAUCUUCGGCAAUGGACGAAAGUCUGACCGAGCAAGGCCGCGGGAGGGAAGAAGGUUUUCGGUUCGUAAACCCCUGUUGUCAGGGAGGCGGUAUCUAACCAGAAAGCCACGGCUAACUACGUGCCAGCAGCCGCGGUAAUAC